UUACACUUCCUGCUGUAACGGACUGAUACAGGAGGAAUAUAUGUGUAUAUGUAGACAGGGGACAUUUUAAACACGGUGUUUAAACCCUAAUGAGUUAAAUACCGAAUAUGUGGCGCUCUGAAAUGUGGAAACACUUCAGUUAAAGUAUCAGAUGUGUUUAUAUGAGGAACAGGAAAGUCUGAAUCUACAGAAAGAGAUAAAGAUGGCGACCGCAAGCAAUGAGUUUAAACUCAUUGCUCCCAGAGCAGAGUUUAAUGACUCUGCUGUCACUCUCUCAUGUCGACUCUCUCCUGAAAUCAGUGCUGUUGACUUGGAGAUCCGGUGGUUUAAGGGGACAGACUGUGUUUGUGUUUAUAAGAACAGUAAGGUGACAGAGGGGAGAGGUUAUGAGGGCAGAGUGAGUCUGUUCACUCAGGAGCUGGAGAGAGGAAACGUCUCCUUACAGCUGAGAAACUGUACAUGGUCAGAUUUAGGAUAUUACCUCUGUCAGGUCACUGAUGGAGACAGAACAGAAGAGAUUACAGUAUUUAUGGGUAAGUGUUCCUGAUCUCCACACUGUAUAAACUCCACAUCAUCAUCUGUGCUUCUCAUCUCAGUACAUAAACACACUCAGUAUUCAGUGUGAGAUUCAGUAUACAGGCUGCUAAUGUGGAGUGAAGAUCAUCUGAGUUGAAUUAACAGUAACUCUAUUUUUCACUCUUCUACACACCUGCACAAGGGCUUAAAAGCAGCAGCUUGUACAAAUAUGAAGUAACUAGGGAUUUAUUUAUCUAAAUUUAUUUAUCUAUUAAUCAGAGAUUGACUGAAUAUCAGUUUAAACUAAAACAAAGACAUUUUUUACAUCAGAAAGGAAAUUAAAUUACACACAAAAUGUGACAUUUAAAUUAUAACAAUUUCUGAAUAUCCAGUAGAUCAGACUACAUCACUGCCAAAUACAGCACUGAGAACCAAACUACACACAUUUAGGUUAAAGGUAGAGGAAAAAAACACAGUCAGGCUGAUGAUUAAGACUUUUGGUGUAAGUAUAUCUGUCUAGUGACUAAUGUGAGAUGUAUAACAGUCCAGAGAACACAGAUUAGCUCGUCAUGUAGUCAGCUUAGCUCCUGCUAACAUGCUGUGUUUGUAUUUCUCUACUGCUGUAAGUCUGUAAAUUCAGAGUGGAGACUAAUAUCAGGAGUUACAGGUUGUAGUGUUGGACUUUUCCAACAUGAUUUGUUUUAAAACUAACACAGUAAGGUACAGACCUGGAGAACACAAACUGUAUUGUCCUUGUAACUGUGUUAAUAACAUGAAAUGAGAAACUGAACGACUCCCACUACAAUGUAGACUCUCAUCUUUCAUUAGUCGUGUUUACACACAAAGAUUUUUACCAGUAUGAAUGAAUUCAGCCAGACUGCAGAUUCCUAAUGAACUGUUUCUGUGUGUCUUAAAAUGGACUCUUUUCAUUUAUAUACAUGUUACAUGUGAUCUGAUCCAAAUCUAUCUUGGUGCUCAGAGCUCUAGGUUAGUGCUUCUGAAUGAUUAAAUCAUUUAUCACUAUAUUUUAAAAUAGAAAGUAUUAAUCAGGGAAGAAUCGAUAUUUACAUUUACAUUUAUGCCAUUUAGCAGACAAUCUUAUCCAGAGUGACUUACAUUUUAUUUCACCACAUCCC